rnacentral:rRNA from 1 species
UAAGACGAACCAAGCAAACGUUGUUCGGAAUCACUGGGCUUAAAGGGCGCGUAGGCGGUCGGCCAAGUCCGGAGUGAAAUCUUUCGGCUCAACCGGAAAAGUGCUUUGGAUACUGGCCGGCUCGAAGGGGGUAGGGGUUGCGGGAACAGCCAGUGGAGCGGUGAAAUGCGUUGAUAUUGGCUGGAACGCCGGUGGCGAAAGCGCGCAACUGGACCUCUCUUGACGCUGAGGCGCGAAAGCUAGGGUAGCGAACGGGAUUAGAUACCCCGGUAGUCCUAGCCCUAAACGAUGGGCACUAGAUUGUGAGCGUGACAUGCGCCCUCAAUCGAAGCAAAAGUGGUUAGUGCCCCGCCUGGGGAGUAUGGUCGCAAGGCUG